rnacentral:rRNA from 1 species
UGGCUCAGUAACACGUGGAGAAUCUAACCUUCGGUGGAGGAUAAUCUCGGGAAACUGAGAAUAAUACUCCAUAAACAUAGGAUGCUGGAAUGCUUCUAUGUUGAAAGGCAACGCCAAAGGAUGACUCUGCGACCUAUCAGGCUGUAGUGAGUGUAAUGGACUCACUAACCUGCAACGGGUACGGGUGUUGGAAGACAUUGCCCGGAGAUGGACUCUGAGACAUGAGUCCAGGUUCUACGGAACGCGGCAGGCGCGAAAACUCCGCAAUGUACGAAAGUACGACGGGGGAAUUCUGAGUGCUUACGCCUUGCGUAGGCUGUUUUCUUGUCUAAAAAACAAGGAGAGUAAGGGCUGGGUAAGACGGGUGCCAUCUCGUGCAAUUCUGCACUUAUUGUGUUCGUUGCACGAAGCACAAGCCGCCGCGGUAAUACCCGCGGCCCGAGUGGUGCUCAUUAUUAUUGAGCCUAAAACGUCCGUAGCCGGUUUAAUAAAUUCUUGGGUAAAUCAUAUCGCUUAACGAUAUGAAUUCUGAGAACACUGCUAAACUCGGGAAUGGGAGAGGCCAGAGGUACUUUCAGGGUAGGGGUAAAAUCCCGUAAUCCUGAGAGGACCACCGGUGGCGAAGGCGUCUGGCUAGAACAUAUUCGACGGUAAGGGACGAAGCCCUGGGGCGCAAACGGGAUUAGAUACCCCGGUAGUCCAGGGUGUAAACGCUGUAGAUUUGGUGUUGGAAAUCCUACGGGGAUUCCCAGUGCCGGAGAGAAGUUGUUAAAUCUACUGCUUGGGGAGUACGGUCGCAAGACUGAAACUUAAAGGAAUUGGCGGGGGAGCACCGCAACGGGUGGAGCGUGCGGUUUAAUUGGAUCCAACGCCGAGAAACCCACCGGGGGCGACCAUUAUAUGAAGGCCAAGCCAAUGACUUUGCCUAAUUUUU